rnacentral:rRNA from 1 species
CGCGUAGGCGGCUUGGCAAGUCAGGUGUGAAAUCCCCCGGCUCAACCGGGGAACUGCAUUUGAUACUGCUGAGCUAGAGUGCAGGAGGGGAGAGUGGAAUUCCUGGUGUAGCGGUGAAAUGCGUAGAUAUCAGGAGGAACGCCGGUGGCGAAAGCGACUCUCUGGCCUGCUACUGACGCUGAGGUGCGAAAGCUAGGGGAGCAAACG